GGAAUCCGGGAGGACCAUCUCCCAAGGCUAAAUACUCCCUAGUGACCGAUAGUGAACCAGUACCGUGAGGGAAAGGUGAAAAGCACCCCGGAAGGGGAGUGAAACAGUUCCUGAAACCGUGUGCCUACAAGUAGUUAGAGCCCGUUAAUGGGUGAUAGCGUGCCUUUUGUAGAAUGAACCGGCGAGUUACGAUUUGUUGCAAGGUUAAGCGGAAAAAGCGGAGCCGUAGCGAAAGCGAGUCUGAAUAGGGCGCAUAAGUAACAGGUCGUAGACCCGAAACCAGGUGAUCUACCCAUGUCCAGGAUGAAGGUAAGGUAAUACUUACUGGAGGUCCGAACCCACGCACGUUGAAAAGUGCGGGGAUGAGGUGUGGGUAGCGGAGAAAUUCCAAUCGAACUUGGAGAUAGCUGGUUCUCUCCGAAAUAGCUUUAGGGCUAGCCUCGAGGUAAAGAGUCAUGGAGGUAGAGCACUGUUUGGACUAGGGGCCCUUCUCGGGUUACCGAAUUCAGAUAAACUCCGAAUGCCAUGUACUUAUACUCGGGAGUCAGACUGCGAGUGAUAAGAUCCGUAGUCGAAAGGGAAACAGCCCAGACCACCAGUUAAGGUCCCCAAAUAUAUGUUAAGUGGAAAAGGAUGUGGGGUUGCUUAGACAACCAGGAUGUUGGCUUAGAAGCAGCCACCAUUGAAAGAGUGCGUAAUAGCUCACUGGUCGAGUGACCCCGCGCCGAAAAUGUACCGGGGCUAAACAUAUUACCGAAACUGUGGAUGAACCUCUUCGGAGGUUCGUGGUAGGAGAGCGUUCUAAGGGCGGUGAAGUCAGACCGGAAGGACUGGUGGAGCGCUUAGAAGUGAGAAUGCCGGUAUGAGUAGCGAAAGAAGGGUGAGAAUCCCUUCCACCGAAUAUCUAAGGUUUCCUGAGGAAGGCUCGUCCGCUCAGGGUUAGUCGGGACCUAAGCCGAGGCCGAUAGGCGUAGGCGAUGGACAACAGGUAGAGAUUCCUGUACCAGUGCUAAUUGUUUAACCGAUGGGGUGACACAGAAGGAUAGGGAAUCGCACGAAUGGAAAUGUGCGUCCAAGCAGUGAGUGUGA
rnacentral:rRNA from 1 species